AUGAAAGUAGGGCAGUUAAUCUGCUUUCCUUCCACCAAGCACUGCAUAAGAGCCAGGUCCAUGUGGUUUGUUGUAUGCCCCCUCUCCUGUCUAGGAACUAGGCAUUUUUCCACAAAUUUAAAGAGCACUUUAUGCUCUAGCCUCAUCUCACUCUUGUGUACAACCCAUGCUUCAGGAACCUCCUCAUCAACUUUGGUGUCACAGAAGUUCCUAGUGAUUUGAAGAUCAGUAGACAGUCCAUCCAGACAGGCCAUUUUUCCUUGUGUAAUCAUUAUAUCCUUCACUAGGAAUGUCCAGAAUUUUUCCCAGCUUGGGUGCAUCAAACUUCACCUUGACCCCCUUCACUAUGCUAGUUACCAGUCCAUUUUUCACAGUCCCAUUGGCCAUGAAUUCAACGAGCUCAUUUCUGUCCAAUCUACCAUCCAUCUGAAGGACCAUGUCCUUCCAUCCUUGUGCCUCCAGUGUAGUCACAAUCUCAUCAUGCCUGGUUCCUCCAGGUUUAUGAGAAGUCUUCCCUUUAGAAUUUUUCUUUUGCCAAACAUGGCAUACCUAUCAUGUUCCUGUUUUGACUCAUCUUCUCCUUAUUCUUCACUCCACUCUUCAUCAUCUUCUUAAGUUAUUUUCACUUGUUUACCUUUCACAGCUAACCUAGUUCUCUUUGCUAGAGAAGGUUCAACAGAUACUUACUUGGAGGGCUUCCUUGCAGAAGACAUGGUUCCCUUUGAUUUGGCAGUGGGAACUUCCACAGUCAUACUCUGCUCUUGAUGGACCAGUUCCAUCUCUUCCUCCUCUUCUUCAAUAGCAACCUCAGAACUUUCAACCAUUUUUGCUUUCCCCUUUUCUUUUUUCCUUUCUUGCUCUCCUCUAGAGCCUUUUGCAGUUCUGCUUCACACUCCCUAACUCUACUUCUUGUGGCUCUAACAGACUUAGGUGAUGACACUUUGCUCUUUUUAGUUGGUUUGGAUGCAACAGUAGUCCUUUGUAAGGAAGACUUGCGUUUCUUAAGAUCAUAACUAGCAUCAAAUUUCUUCAGCACAUCUGCCAAAGUCUCCUCCACAUAUGAACCAGGUUCAUCUGGUUGUUCACUCAAGUUCACCAGUCCCUCGGCAGCUUCACCUGACCCAUUUCCCCCUGACUUCAAGCCUCCUUCUUCUCCACUACCACAGAUAGCUAAAACCUUCCCAUUCUUUUUCUUUCUCCUUUUACAAGAUUCAGCCCCUUCAACAUUUUUAACAACCCCUAUCAGAACAAACCUAUUUUUCUCAUUUUUAACUAUAUCAGAAGACAAGUAACAUGUGUUUAUCUCUCUUGGAUUUUCUUGACUCUUGUCAUUGUCAAAAGACCCAUGUUCUUCUCCAUCACUAGCACAGAUGAAAUUUUCAGACUCAGAACUUGAGUCAAACCUUUUGGCUGGGACUUCCUUUCUCUGACUAGCCUGUAGUCUUUCAUUCAAAA
rnacentral:lncRNA from 1 species